UACAGAGGGGGCAAGCGUUAUCCGGAUUCACUGGGUUUAAAGGGUGCGUAGGUGGGCUAGUAAGUCCGUGGUGAAAUCUCCAAGCUUAACUUGGAAACUGCCGUGGAUACUAUUAGUCUUGAAUAUUGUGGAGGUAAGCGGAAUAUGUCAUGUAGCGGUGAAAUGCUUAGAUAUGACAUAGAACACCGAUAGCGAAGGCAGCUUGCUACACAAUCAUUGACACUGAGGCACGAAAGCGUGGGGAUCAAACAGG
rnacentral:rRNA from 1 species